AAGCAACACUCUGUGGCAGAUGGACCGAAAUAAUUGUCUGACACAAUUUUCGCUUGCUAUAGCAAAAAAAAGUCUAACCUAUUCCGGUGUUCUCUUUUUCAUGAGACACACCGUUAUAUAGACUUAGACAGC